rnacentral:rRNA from 3 species
GUUAUAUGGUCAAGUGAAGAAGCGCAUACGGUGGAUGCCUUGGCAGUCAGAGGCGAUGAAAGACGUGGUAGCCUGCGA